ACAAAAGUGCUUGUAGACUUCGGUCUGCUACCUCUUACCCAUGUCUUUUGAGUACCUUCGUUUCCUCGGCGGGUCCGCCCGCCGAUUGGACAACAUUCAAACCCUUUGCAGUUGCAAUCAGCGUCUGAAAAAACAUAAUAGUUACAACUUUCAACAACGGAUCUCUUGGUUCUGGCAUCGAUGAAGAACGCAGCGAAAUGCGAUAAGUAGUGUGAAUUGCAGAAUUCAGUGAAUCAUCGAAUCUUUGAACGCACAUUGCGCCCCUUGGUAUUCCAUGGGGCAUGCCUGUUCGAGCGUCAUUUGUACCUUCAAGCUCUGCUUGGUGUUGGGUGUUUGUCUCGCCUCUGCGUGUAGACUCGCCUUAAAACAAUUGGCAGCCGGCGUAUUGAUUUCGGAGCGCAGUACAUCUCGCGCUUUGCACUCAUAACGACGACGUCCAAAAGUACAUUUUUACACUCUUGACCUCGGAUCAGGUAGGGAUACCCGCUGAACUUAAGCAUAUCAAUAAGGCGGGAGGA
rnacentral:rRNA from 1 species